rnacentral:rRNA from 1 species
CAGCCGUAAACUAUGCGCGUUAGGUGUAUCGGUGACCACGAGUUACCGAGGUGCCGAAGGGAAACCGUGAAACGUGCCGCCUGGGAAGUACGGUCGCAAGGCUGAAACUUAAAGGAAUUGGCGGGGGAGCACCACAACAGGUGGAGCCUGCGGUUUAAUUGGACUCAACGCCGGGAAGCUCACCGGAUAGGACAGCAGAAUGAUUGCCGGGCUGAAGACCCUGCAUGACUAGCUGAGAGGAGGUGCAGUGG